rnacentral:rRNA from 1 species
UACGAAGGGGGCUAGCGUUGUUCGGAAUUACUGGGCGUAAAGCGCGCGUAGGCGGACCUGCAAGUCGGGGGUGAAAGCCCGAGGCUCAACCUCGGAACUGCCUUCGAUACUGCGGGUCUCGAGUCCGGGAGAGGUGAGUGGAAUUCCUAGUGUAGAGGUGAAAUUCGUAGAUAUUAGGAAGAACACCCGUGGCGAAGGCGGCUCUCUGGGACGGUACUGACGCUGAGACGCGAAAGCGUGGGGAGCGAACAGG